rnacentral:rRNA from 1 species
GAUGAACGCUGGCGGCGUGCCUAAUACAUGCAAGUCGAGCGAACAGAUGAGGAGCUUGCUCCUCUGACGUUAGCGGCGGACGGGUGAGUAACACGUGGAUAACCUACCUAUAAGACUGGGAUAACUUCGGGAAACCGGAGCUAAUACCGGAUAAUAUAUUGAACCGCAUGGUUCAAUAGUGAAAGACGGUUUUGCUGUCACUUAUAGAUGGAUCCGCGCCGCAUUAGCUAGUUGGUAAGGUAACGGCUUACCAAGGCAACGAUGCGUAGCCGACCUGAGAGGGUGAUCGGCCACACUGGAACUGAGACACGGUCCAGACUCCUACGGGAGGCAGCAGUAGGGAAUCUUCCGCAAUGGGCGAAAGCCUGACGGAGCAACGCCGCGUGAGUGAUGAAGGUCUUCGGAUCGUAAAACUCUGUUAUCAGGGAAGAACAAAUGUGUAAGUAACUAUGCACGUCUUGACGGUACCUAAUCAGAAAGCCACGGCUAACUACGU